CAUGGCCUGAAUCAGACCCAAACACUGAAUUCUCCUGUGCUUUUGCUUCUUUGUGUCUUUAGGUUGCCUAAAUGGAAGACUACAGGAAGGAAAUGUCUGCUCUUGCUACCUCUUCUAAACUUCUUAAGAGAAUGGACAGACAUUCAAGUGUGAGCUUGUCCAUCUGCAUUCACCAGGUAUUCCUUCUGAUAAUCAUCUUAUCACCCUGUUCACAGUCUUAUGUAUGGAGAUUUCUUUAUUUUCCUAUGAAAGUGAGUAAGUUUAUUCCUACAAUUAAAAAAAUUUUUUGCAAAAAGGAAAUACAUUUGUUGGACUAACCAUUU
rnacentral:lncRNA from 13 species